rnacentral:rRNA from 1 species
UACAGAGGUCCCAAGCGUUGUUCGGAUUCACUGGGCGUAAAGGGUGCGUAGGCGGUCGGGUAAGUCUGACGUGAAAUCUUCGAGCCUAACUCGGAAACUGCGUCGGAUACUAUUCGGCUAGAGGAAUGGAGGGGAGACUGGAAUACUUGGUGUAGCAGUGAAAUGCGUAGAUAUCAAGUGGAACACCAGUGGCGAAGGCGAGUCUCUGGACAUUUCCUGACGCUUAGGCACGAAAGCCAGGGGAGCAAACGGG